UGAGCGCCGCCAACGGCGCGCGCCAUGAUCGUCGCGCGCAGGGCCUUCGGUUAGGGCUCCCCCGGCCGCGGAUCCCUCCUUGAACCUCUUCUGCGUCUCCGUCAUGCAUGGCCAUGAGUCUGCUCAUGUUGGUUGGUGGCCCGCCUAAUAUAUGGCGCUCCGCCAUGGAGGCGCUGCCCGUGAGGCCGUAGCAGAGUGGUGAUGGAGGAGGCGCCGCCAAGCCGCAUCGCCGUGACAGCGCCGCCGUCAGAAAUGGAUAUUGCCUUAUCUAACAAUUUGGCUAAGCGAAGGGGAAACUGCUACAAGCUAUAUGAGUAGAAGCUUCACAUUUCUGAUUUCUGAAGAGUAUCAGCUUGUUUAACAUACUUGCAGCUUCCUCAACACCUAAUACAUUUUUAAUUCUCUAUAGCUAUGAGCUCUAUUUUGCCAUUGUCACCAUGCCUUAUCAGUCCAUCACUAGUUGGUCUAGUGAUUGUACUCACUACUCGCUAUGCUAAUUUAUCUUUGUGAUAUUCUGCUAAGUGCUGUACAUGUUCGUAUCCUGGCAAUGAGGCUACGAGCCAUGACUGCAUGACCAUUUUGUCAAUGUUGUU